rnacentral:rRNA from 1 species
GAUGAACGCUGGCGGCGUGCCUAAUACAUGCAAGUCGAACGAAGCACAUAUGUGCUUAGUGGCGAACGGGUGAGUAAAAGAUAAGUAACCUGCCCUUGACAGGGGGAUAACGAUCGGAAACGAACGCUAAGACCGCAUAGGUAAUUAAGUUGCAUGACUUAAUUAUUAAAUAUCCUACGGGAUAGGUGAAGGAUGGACUUAUCACGCAUUAGCUAGUUGGAGAGGUAACGGCUCCCCAAGGCGACGAUGCGUAGCCGGCCUGAGAGGAUGAACGGCCACAUUGGGACUGAGAUACGGCCCAGACUCCUACGGGAGGCAGCAGUGGGGAAUAUUGGGCAAUGGGGGAAACCCUGACCCAGCAACGCCGCGUGAAGGAAGAAGG